rnacentral:tRNA from 1 species
GCACCGAUGGUGGAAUUGGUAUACACACGGCACUUAAAAUGCCGCGCCUUAUGGAUUGUGGGUUCAAGUCCCACUCGGUGCA